UCAGUACUUGCUUUUACAAGGCGAAACCGCGAAUGGCUCAUUAAAUCAGUUAUGGUUCACUAGAUCGUACAGUUUACAUGGAUAACUGUGGUAAUUCUAGAGCUAAUACAUGCAUUCAGCUCGCUCUUUCGGGAGCGAGCGCAGUUAUUAGAAUAAAACCAAUCCGGCCUUCGGGUCGGUAAAAUUGGUGACUCUGAAUAACCGAAGCGGAGCGCAUGGUCUCGUACCGGCGCCAGAUCUUUCAAGUGUCUGACUUAUCAGCUUGUUGGUAGGUUAUGUGCCUACCAAGGCUUCGACGGGUAACGGGGUGUCAGGGCCCGACACCGGAGAGGGAGCCUGAGAAACGGCUACCACAUCCAAGGAAGGCAGCAGGCGCGCAAAUUACCCACUCCCGGCACGGGGAGGUAGUGACGAAAAAUAACGAUGCGAGAGCUUUUAGCUUUUCGUAAUCGGAAUGGGUACACUUUAAAUCCUUUAACGAGGAUCUAUUGGAGGGCAAGUCUGGUGCCAGCAGCCGCGGUAAUUCCAGCUCCAAUAGCGUAUAUUAAAGUUGCUGCGGUUAAAAAGCUCGUAGUUGGAUCUGGGUUGUUCGAGCGAGCGGUGCGUCUUCACGGCGUAACUGCUUGUUCGGCACCACAGCCCGGUUAUGUCUUGCAUGCCCUUCACUGGGUGUGCUUGGCGACCGGAACGUUUACUUUGAAAAAAUUAGAGUGCUCAAAGCAGGCGUAUGGCCUUGCAUAAUGGUGCAUGGAAUAAUAGAAUAGGACCUCGGUUCUAUUUUGUUGGUUUUCGGAGCUCGAGGUAAUGAUUAAUAGGAACAGACGGGGGCAUUCGUAUUGCGGCGUUAGAGGUGAAAUUCUUGGAUCGUCGCAAGACGCA
rnacentral:rRNA from 1 species